UCUAAGAGAAGUAUUCUUCAAUAAUAAUUAUCAACUAAAGAAAUAAACCGUACAAUAUUCUAUUUAUACUACAUUACAAUAAUAGACAAAAUGACAAAAGGGCCCUUUAGUGACUAGCCUUCAGAAAUACCCAAAAGUGUCAUGACCAUGAUCAUACUUGUAUCAUAAGUAUAGUGUUUUGAAAUGUGAAUUUGUUACUUGAAAAUGUGAACUUGUGUUUUGAAAAUGGUUAAGUGUGAUCACUUGAAAUAGUGAACUAAUGACUUGAGAAUGUAAAUUAGUGACUUAAAAAUAGUUAAGUUUCCUCUUGUACACAACAAGGAGUCUUCAAUGAGUUUAUGAUAUGUAUACUUUGGAACAAUAUCUUCAACAUUUUUCAUAUUACCAUGUGCUGCUUCAGUUUUGCUAAUUGAAUUACAUCUUAACAUUUUACCCAAUUUGUAGCUCUUUAAGUUUAACAGUUUAUUGUGAUUUUGUGUUUUGAAUGGUGCUUUCAGUAAGAGUUAUAUCUUGUAAAGUUUGAGAUUGAUUUGAUGGAGUAUUGGGGUGAAUUUGCUAAAAUAGUUUAGCCGAUUCCACGUUAAUUUGGUACAGUGACGUAGUUGAUUCUGUUCUUAAAGCAUUUUUAGGAUUAUUGCUGAGCGUUACUUGUUUAAACAAGUUGUUGUUUGUUUUUCUUCCUUUUCUGUUCUGGCUGAGUUGAUGUUAGGAUUUUGUUUUUCUAUUUUCUGGUUCUGACCGUGGGAUGCUAUUGUCCUUAUAAUAUAAUUGAGAGGUGACAAAGCCGGCAAUAUUCUUUUGGAUUCUGAACUCACUGCCAAAGUUGCUGAUUUAGUAAUACAUCUACAGGGGUUGUCUAUCACAACAAAUUUUUGAGGAAUAUACAUGAAACUAGAAGCUGUUAGGUGGAAUUAUUGCACACUGAUAUACAACAAACAUAAAACACAAAGUGAACCCUUUUUUAUAAUGGCAAUAGCGUACAUGUGCCCAACUAUUAACCAACGGCAUAGAUGAGCCUUUCUCAAAGUUUGGUGGCGUAUUUGCGUGUCUUUCCUUUCUACAAAAUGCAUUUGAUGAUGAAUGAGCAAUAUUUGUUUUUUUGGGGGGUAAUAAUUACCAUUAACAACCAUAAUUUACACCUAUAGAGCACUUUAGGAAGAUAGUCCACCUUCCAGGAAGGGUACCCUCGCCUCUAAAGCCUCAAACCAAGAAACACAAUUAUUAAAAAAUUUUGAACGAGGUAUUUACAUAAACUAACUUUCCUAAUGCUUUCCAUGCUCCACUCUUUCUAGAUAAUGUGCUGGAAACACAAGUACAUCUUAUUUCUUGCUUUCCAAGUAUGUCCGACCAAGUCUCAAGUUUUGCCUUUACUCUUUCUGUCCAGCUACACACUGAGAAUAGAUGUACUUAUAUUUCCGGCACAUUAUCUCUACAUAAUCAACAUUUGUUAUCAUCUACAGGGAUGUGCAACCUGACCAUCCUCUCCUUGGUUAAUAAUCUCUUGAUUAGAUAACCAUACAAUAAACCUGUGUCUUGGUAGCUUGAGUGAACUUCAGAUCAAGUCAGCUGCAUGUAGUCUUGUCUGUUCACCCAAAAGUUGAAUGUAGCUACAGCUUACCUUAUAUACCUUGGAUGAUAAUACAAUUACUAAUAAGAUCACCCCCGAUACAUUCGAUGAUGAUACAAAUAGGUCUCUACUUCUAGACAUACAGUAAAUUUAAUUCUCUCUACAAUUACUUAAUAGUACUUUCCUCCAGUUCCUAAUUUAUUACAAGAGACAAUGUUGUUGAUGUUUUCUGAGAUUACAAUAUGUUAUCAUUAGAAUACGUGGUUAAGUGUAGCAGCCAAAUAGACUCCAUCUUGACGCGUAUUCCACAAUAAGAUGUUUUGGAAAAGAGAUCAAUUUAAGGCGGUUAGGAGGUUCACUCCAUGUUAUCAUUUCUUUCUUGGAAUUUUUACUAGAUGUGGCUACAUAGCCAACUAAGAGUUUUGCUAUUUAUAGUUGCACUCAUUGCAAUUGCAACUUGUGAGGCAGAUGAUCUUUUUCCUUUUACUUUUAGGUUCAAUCUUGACUGAGAAAUCUUGCAAACAGAUUAAUGGACAUCAAGUCCCCAACCAUGAACUACUGGAGCAAGAAACAAGAAAGACACCAUAGCCAAAAAUACAUGAAAUUUGGAUAACUCCAUUUUUGCUAAUUGAUAUGUUCAAGCAAUUGAAGAGCUCAGAAAAACCAACCGAUAGAUGAUCAAGGCAAUCCAAUCGUGCUAUCAGAGGAAGAAACUCUCUCCUGCUGGCUGAAUGUAGUUGGCGGCGUGUAUAAGGGAGGGACGUACGACCUUUGCUUCGAGACGAACUUUCAUCGCCUCCAGUGUGGAUUGCAAGGUAUAGGGGAGUCCGCCACCAUGCUAGAUCAGCAGCUUGAGGAGAUGCGACAGGAAGUUCGGAAGCUUGCUAUGCUAGGAAGUACAAGGAGGAACGAAAAAGAAUGAUGGAGGAGGAGCGGCGUAGGACGACACUUGAGCCAGACGUCCAAGAACUCAAGGCUCAAGUAAAUAUGUUAAUCAAGCUUCUGCGUUCUCCGCCCCCUAGCUCUGAUGGUGAUGGUGGAGAGGAUGAGGAUGAUGGAGAGGAUGGAAUGGAGUAUUAGGUAGGUGGUGGUGUUAUUUUAGUUUUGGAUUUUGUUAGUCUGGAGUGUUUGAAAGAAUUUGUUUUGCUACUUGUUUGCAUAUGGUUUAAGUUGGGUGAAUAAGUAUGAAGUUUGAACCACUAGAGUUGGCAUGGUGGAUCAGCGCCAUGUCCCUUAAGCAAGAGGUCGGGGGUUCGAUCCCCGCCUCUGGCGAAUGGAGCAAACUCUGUGACUAAUUUCCUACAGCUUAGUACGCUGACAGAGGAACGGAGGAUUAGUCUCACGGUUGUCGGCUGUGGGAAUACCUUGGGAAAUAAAAAAAAAAGAAUAUGUAUGAAGUUUGGCUACUUAAUUUAAUGUUUGAAUUGUUUCGAAAGCAUUUUCUUAUUGUUUUGUUGGUUGUCAUUGGUUA